rnacentral:piRNA from 1 species
UCAGACUUUGAAUAGAGAAACAAUGGACCA